AUGUACCAUAAUACCCAGUGGCAUUUUUCACGGAAGUAGAAAAAACACACUUAAAAUUUAUAUGCAACCACAAAAGACCCCAAACAGCC